UACAGUAUUCUUUUUGCCAGCGCUUAAUUGCGCGGCGAAAAAACCUUACACACAGUGUUUUUUGUUAUUACAAGAACUCUUGCUUUGGUCUGGACUAGAAAUAGUUUGGGCCAGAGGUUUACUAAACUAAACUUCAAUAUUUAUAUUGAAUUGUUAUUUAUUUUAAUUGUCAAUUUGUUGAUUAAAUUCAAAAAAUCUUCAAAACUUUCAACAACGGAUCUCUUGGUUCUCGCAUCGAUGAAGAACGCAGCGAAAUGCGAUAAGUAAUAUGAAUUGCAGAUUUUCGUGAAUCAUCGAAUCUUUGAACGCACAUUGCGCCCUUUGGUAUUCCAAAGGGCAUGCCUGUUUGAGCGUCAUUUCUCUCUCAAACCUUCGGGUUUGGUAUUGAGUGAUACUCUUAGUCGAACUAGGCGUUUGCUUGAAAUGUAUUGGCAUGAGUGGUACUGGAUAGUGCUAUAUGACUUUCAAUGUAUUAGGUUUAUCCAACUCGUUGAAUAGUUUAAUGGUAUAUUUCUCGGUAUUCUAGGCUCGGCCUUACAAUAUAACAAACAAGUUUGACCUCAAAUCAGGUAGGACUACCCGCUGAACUUAAGCAUAUCAAUAA
rnacentral:rRNA from 1 species